rnacentral:rRNA from 1 species
AGCUGCGGCAGCGAACGUAUCACUUAAAGCGAUUCAGCGGAUGACGAUUGACGGAGCGAAGCGACGUCAAAGCGUAUACAAAGUCGAGUCGGUUUAAGGAUACGUUCGUUGGGUAGGGGAGCGUUCUGUAAGCCUGCGAAGGUGGCCUGUGAGGGUUGCUGGAGGUAUCAGAAGUGCGAAUGCUGACAUAAGUAACGAUAAAGCGGGUGAAAAGCCCGCUCGCCGGAAGACCAAGGGUUCCUGUCCAACGUUAAUCGGGGCAGGGUGAGUCGACCCCUAAGGCGAGGCCGAAAGGCGUAGUCGAUGGGAAACGGGUUAAUAUUCCCGUACUUGGUGUUACUGCGAAGGGGGGACGGAGAAGGCUAUGUUGGCCGGGCGACGGUUGUCCCGGUUUAAGCGUGUAGGUGUGUGUUCCAGGUAAAUCCGGUUCACUUUAACACUGAGGCGUGAUGACGAGGCACUACGGUGCUGAAGCAACAAAUGCCCUGCUUCCAGGAAAAGCCUCUAAGCAUCAGGUAACAUCAAAUCGUACCCCAAACCGACACAGGUGGUCAGGUAGAGAAUACCAAGGCGCUUGAGAGAACUCGGGUGAAGGAACUAGGCAAAAUGGUGCCGUAACUUCGGGAGAAGGCACGCUGACACGUAGGUGAAGUGAUUUACUCAUGGAGCUGAAGUCAGUCGAAGAUACCAGCUGGCUGCAACUGUUUAUUAAAAACACAGCACUGUGCAAACACGAAAGUGGACGUAUACGGUGUGACGCCUGCCCGGUGCCGGAAGGUUAAUUGAUGGGGUCAGCGCAAGCGAAGCUCCUGAUCGAAGCCCCGGUAAACGGCGGCCGUAACUAUAACGGUCCUAAGGUAGCGAAAUUCCUUGUCGGGUAAGUUCCGACCUGCACGAAUGGCGUAAUGAUGGCCAGGCUGUCUCCACCCGAGACUCAGUGAAAUUGAACUCGCUGUGAAGAUGCAGUGUACCCGCGGCAAGACGGAAAGACCCCGUGAACCUUUACUAUAGCUUGACACUGAACAUUGAGCCUUGAUGUGUAGGAUAGGUGGGAGGCUUUGAAGUGUGGACGCCAGUCUGCAUGGAGCCGACCUUGAAAUACCACCCUUUAAUGUUU